rnacentral:rRNA from 1 species
GUUGAACGCUGGCGGCAGGCCUAACACAUGCAAGUCGAGCGGAUGAAGGGAGCUUGCUCCUGGAUUCAGCGGCGGACGGGUGAGUAAUGCCUAGGAAUCUGCCUGGUAGUGGGGGAUAACGUCCGGAAACGGGCGCUAAUACCGCAUACGUCCUGAGGGAGAAAGUGGGGGAUCUUCGGACCUCACGCUAUCAGAUGAGCCUAGGUCGGAUUAGCUAGUUGGUGGGGUAAAGGCCUACCAAGGCGACGAUCCGUAACUGGUCUGAGAGGAUGAUCAGUCACACUGGAACUGAGACACGGUCCAGACUCCUACGGGAGGCAGCAGUGGGGAAUAUUGGACAAAGGGCGAAAGCCUGAUCCAGCCAUGCCGCGUGUGUGAAGAAGGUCUUCGGAUUGUAAAGCACUUUAAGUUGGGAGGAAGGGCAGUAAGUUAAUACCUUGCUGUUUUGACGUUACCAACAGAAUAAGCACCGGCUAACUUCGUG